rnacentral:tRNA from 1 species
GGCUCGUUGGUCUAGGGGUACGAUUCCUGCUUAGGUUGCAGGAGGUCCCGGGUUCAAAUCCCGGACGAGCCC